AAUCAUCUGUAGUCUUAUACAUCUGAAAUAUCAGAACAUGAUCCCAGCCACACCUGACAAGUUACAACACCUGAAGCUGAUGUGAAUGGUAAAAUAAGCAAGUACAUUGAUACAACAGGCUACUUCAGACUAAUUAUAACUGAAGAAUCAAUUACAACUCCAGCUUUGCUGCAUUAGUGUAUUGCAAGAUUAAAAGGAUACUUCAGCCUAAUUCAGUAAUUUUAAUAAAUUAAUGAAUCCUGGUGCUCGCAUUAUUCCUGAAUUUAUUUCCGGAUUUCCGGUGAUGCGCUUUCAGUGAAAGGAGACGUUCCCGUCGACGACGAGGCGCCUACGGUGACUUCGUAAAUCUCAAGAUGAUAUGCCAGCUCAGUCUCUCGGAGGUGCUCAUAGGGGUAGGGUGUGCGUGUGUGCGUUCAUAGGGGUGAGUGUAUGCGCGUGCAUACGAGCGCUUAUGUCUGUACUGAUGCUCAAUUUAUUUCAGGAUUUUCGAUGAUGCACUUUCAGUGGGAGGAGACGUUUGCGUCGAUGACGAGGCGCCUACGUGACUUCGUAAAUCUCAAGAUGAUAUGCCAGUUCAGUCUCUCGGAGGUGGUCAUAGGGGUAGGGUGUGCGUGUGUGCGUUCAUAGGGGUGAGUGUAUGCAUGUGUAUACGAGCGCUUAUGUCUGUACUGAUGCUCAAAUAGUUUUAUAUUCCCCUCGUUCUUAAAUAUAAGCCUUUUUAAAGAUUCCAAUACAGACUACAUACAGAGCAAAAUGAGUGAAUAUAUACUCUAAAAUACGUCUAUAUAUAUAUUAGAAGCCAGUAUUAAGUUUGAAUGGGAGUAUUAUUAAAUAGGCGUCUAUAUACAUAUUAGCUACUUAUACGUCUAUAUACAUAUUAGUAACAAGUAUCAAGUUUGAAUACGUCUAUAUACAUAUUAGUUGCUUAUACGUCUAUAUACAUAUUAGCAACCAGUAUCAAGUUUGAAUACGUCUAUAUACAUAUUAGCUGCUUAUAGACAUAUUAGCAACUAGUAUCAAGUUUGAAUACGUCUAUAUACAUAUUAGCUGCUUAUAUUUAGAGAGUAUAUUAUUAAAUGAGCAUAGGAAUAAAGUACAAAUCAUCUGCAGUCCUAUACAUCUGAAAUAUCAGAACAUGAGUCCAGCCACACCUGACAAGUUACAACACUGAAGCUGAUGUGAAUGCUAAAAUAAGCAAGUACGUUGAUACAAUAGGCUACUUCAGACUAAUUAUAACUGAAGAAUCAAUUACAACUCCAGCUUUGCUGGAUUAGUAUACUGCAAGAUUAAAAGGCUACUUCAGCCUAAUUCAGUAAUUUUAAUAAAUUAAUGAAUCUUCAUGCCCCCAAAACUCCAUGAUAUGGGCGUGGCAACUAUUUGCACUGCAGCUGCCUCU
rnacentral:lncRNA from 1 species